rnacentral:lncRNA from 1 species
AUGGCUGGCCACGUUAUUGGAAUGCCAAACCCACAGUUGCCUGAAAGACUAUUUCACCAGGAAUAUAGUCAAGUCAUAUUUAAGAACCUAUUAUGUGCCAGGAACUGUGCUAAAUUCCACGAAGCAGCUCCUUAUAGACUGACUUAUUGGAAAACAACUAUUCAAAGGCAUUAUCUCUUGUAUUUUUUUUCAAACUUAAAUUCCCUUUUUCUACUAAA